rnacentral:precursor_RNA from 1 species
AUCCGUGAAGCGCCACCAUGGAGCUGGGUGGCACGGAGGG